CGGAAAAAAACGACAUCGGUUAACCGUACUAAGGGUGGGAGUGUAAACGAGGAGGCUUGUCAAAAUUUAAUUUAUUUUAUUAAUUGUGAUUUUCGGAAAGAUUUUUAAAAAAUAUUUUUUAUAAUGGUCGAAAAAACGGGAGUGUAUUAAUAAAUUGGCACGACAACUCUAAAUAGAACAGCUAUAUACAGUUUAUAAUUCAACAAUUAAUUUUUAAAUGAAAGCUGU